GCCUCGGUGGUGUAGUGGUAGUAGCACGUGACCUCGGUAUGGACGAAACGCGGGUUCGAUUCUCGCUGAGGCC